rnacentral:lncRNA from 1 species
UUCAAGUCAGAUAGAACGAUAGAAAGAGGCAAAAACUAAAAGCUAACAUUUGCAGCGAUGGCAUCCAUGACCAUGACAGCCGCCUCAUUCCUGACUGCAGGCUCAGCCUCAACCAUCGCCAAACCUUCAACUCCCAGCCGCCGGAGCCUCGUCGUGGCCAAGGCCGCAGCCAGAACCUCAGAGGGGGAAACAAAGAAGGAAGGGAGCAGCAACAGCAGUGGAAGGAGGGACUUGAUGUUUGCGGCUGCGGCUGCGGUGGCCAGCUCUCUUGCCAAGGCUGCCUUGGCGGAUGAGCCAAAGAGGGGGACCAAAGAAGCCAAGGAGAAGUAUGCUCCUGUUUGCGUCACCAUGCCAACUGCUCGUAUCUGUCGCAACUGAGGAAACCACUACGUACUUUCAUUUUCUUUGAUUCAGUCACGCAUGGUGGUUGUAUUAUAAUUGUCGUACAACUUUUGUAUGAUGCUCUUGUAAUUUUUGUUGGGUCAACCCUGUUAAUCUGCAAGCCUUCUUCCUCUUCUCUUAUUACGUGUUUAUGUGACACAACGGUGCGAAAUAGAGAGGCUGGUAGCUCAAGUAGUUAAAACGCCUCUAAACCAAGAUCUUGAGUUAAUAUCGCUUUUAUUAAACAAACACCACCAUAUAGAGGUUCUGGAAUCAAAUUCACUAUUUUAGGUACUGAAAAAAGAUUAGUUCUAUCGUCUAACUAUGGAAUUAAGAUCCAAUCCAAUAUUGCAAACCGAAGCGUUGGAAGCGCACGUCGCUUGAUGAGAGAGAGACCGAUGAUAUACAACUGUGAUAGGCAAGUUUUAUACCAGGUCCAGGUAUGCCCAAAACACCUCAGUGAAGAAACAAACUGCGAGUAUGUGCAACUCAGUAGUAAGGUCACACAUACAAAUCCUCCGUUGUCCAGCAGCUUCGCAUAACAUACAUUCUAACUUCUUUUUUUUCUUUUGGAUUGAGAGUCCGUCGAAAACAUGUGAACAAUCUAAACAGCCGAAAACCGAGAUUUUAUUAAACCAUAACAAUAACUAAGGAUCAGGAUUUUAGCCCGAAUACAGGAAACACAAUCCAAGCUAAUUAUACUACUCGGUCCAAGAAAAAUCACAAGACGCAAAACUUUCAUACAAAAUAAUUCCAAAUCCAGUACCCCUAAUUCGUUCCUUUUGUUACCGAAGAGUAACAGCUUGGAGAGAGAAUCAGGGACAUUGUCCAUCAUUCGCCUUGGCAACUUUGCCCGGCAGCAUCAAAGACUGCAGAACAAUGUUCGUUGCAAACUCAUUGGCUUUUCCCAUUUUUCUGGGAAACAACAAAAUUGCGAAUAACUUCCAUUGCUAACUGGUGAGCAUUCUUAUUCUGCAGCUUUGCAAGCUCAUCCACAGCUUCAUACGUCUCCUUAUCAGCAAAAAGUUUCAAGUUGUAACGUGCUGGUGACGCCUCUGGCCCUUCCCAUUUGUUAACCAACUCUUGAAGUUUUUCAAAUCCCUGACAACAAUACCAAUUAGAGUCACAACCAUAGAUUAAACCAGUAUUUGAGAUAAAACCACCACCUUCAUCCUUGGAGGGCCUAAAUAUAAUCUUAUAAUCUUAUUUUACAACUUACCAAGCGGUUUGUGAAGUCGCCGAAUGACUCUUUAGAUUGUCGUUUACGUUUCCAGUAAUAAAACAAAGGUUCGAAAACCUUUUCAAGGUCUUGAACCUUGACCUUGUUCAUGAAGGAUUUUGCGAUUGAGGUUUGAUUGGGUGUUCCUCCAAGCCAGAUCUAUUUGAACACAAGCAGAGAAGUGAAAAAAAACGCUCAGUUGCUUUCUUGAUAAUCUGGACUUGAGCACGAUCAAUAUUGCGACAGGUGUGCUGGAAUUUGAAUUACCUGAUAGCUAUUUGGACCAUCACCAACUAGUCCAAGUUCAGCCAUGUAUGGCCUAGCACAACCAUUAGGGCAUCCAGUAAUCCUUAUAACUAGUGAUUCAUUGUACUUCAGACCAACCUGAAAUCCAAAAGUAAUAUUUACCGCAUGCAAUCUAAUUCAUUAACAAUAAAUGAUCUUGAUUUUCCACCUUUUGUUAGUGCUUCGUGGAAUGUGCUUGUUAUUAUGGUAAUACCUUCUCAAAUACUGCUCGAACCCGCUUAAGAAUGUCAGGUAUACCUCGUUCAGCUUCAGUUAUUGCCAGUGGGCAUAGUGGGAAGGCUGGGCAUGCCAUGGCAGUUAAGUUGAGGGGGUCUACAAACCUAGGAUGCUGCCACAAUUGGAACUGAUCAGUAUUAUCCCCAUUUAUGAAAACUCAGAACCUCAAUGCAUUUUUUUUUUUUUUUUGGGGGGAAAAGAAUACCCAAAGAACAUUUUUAUAAUAGACACCACAUGUCUCAAACAGUUCAAGUAAACUAAGAACCAAUAAGUUAAACUAACAAUUGUUUUCUUAAGUCCCGAUCACUCUCCGAGUUUAAAAGAUUCAAACAGAGAAUAAAGAAAGAUAUCCCAUGAGAUCAAUGGAGCCUCCAUGAUUUUACCCUCUAAAUCCUAUCAUAAAAUCAUUUGCAGCCAACUAUAUUAAUGCAAAAAGCAGUAGAAGAAUCAAUAUCUAACGCAAAAUAAUUCACAGCAUCAUUCCAGAUGGACAACACAGCAGGUGAAUCAGACAUGCCAUCCUACUGAGUUGUAAAGGUUCACUUGGCGGUGAAAUUUAUUUCACAGAUUAGGAGUAAAAUAAAGAAAACACAUCUUACCAGCAGCCCGGCUUUUGCAAGAACUGUGGUGAUGGGACGCUUCCAUGCACUGCGAAUAUCACAUAAUAUGAUGUUCUGGUUGGGUGUGAGCCUUACACUCAAGUUAUACUUUUCUAUAACCUCUCUUAAUGCCUGCUUCAUAACUCCCCCAAUCCGACCAUUAUCGACAUGAAGCCCACAAUAAUAACUGCCGUCACCCUAUCAAAUAAAGAUAUAAAUAGUCAGGACACAGCGCUUUGCGAUAUGAAACAUAAGAUGGAAUCAAAGACAUUCAAUUCUAUAUGUGAAAACCAACAGAACGAACCUGCUUGUGCCAUCCCAAGUGACCUUUGAAUUCCCACUCCGGCAACUCACGGAAAGGCUCAAAUUUCUUUCCGUAAUACUGUUCCACUACACUUCUGAACUUUUCAAUCCCCCAUGAGCUGAUCAAAUAUUUCAUUCUACUAUACCUCCGAUCAUCUCUUCUCCCAUUUUCACGUUGUGUAACAACUAUAGCCUUAAUGGCAUAUAGGAUAUCCUCUUUAGGGACAUAACCCAAUGGCUCAGCCAGACGGGGAAAAGUGGAUUCCAUCCUAUGUGUCCUUCCCAUACCACCACCAACCUGCAGAGGAAAUAAUCAGAAAUCAUGUUUUGUGGAGAAAAUUAGCUCAAAUAUAAACAUUGGAGCAUAACUUCAUCUUACAUAUAGGUUGAACCCUUGAGGCUCCCCGUUAUCAUCAGUAACAACCACAACACCAAUAUCAUUUGUGAGAAUAUCCACCGAGUUGUCUGUUGGCACCGUAACUGCAACUUUAAACUUCCUGGGCAAGAACUGAGUUCCAUAAAUGGGCUCGGGUGAAUCAGGGAAGUUUGUUCCAUGAGUAUUAUCAUUGCGGGCCUUUGUUACUUCAGGAGGCUCUGCGGUCAGGAACUUCUCUCCAUCCACCCACACAUCAUAGUAAAAUCCAGACUGUGGAGUCAGCAAUGCUGCAAUGUUCUCUGCAGUCUGCUGUGCACAAAGGUAAUCCUUUCUUUGUAUUGGAGCGGGAGGAGCAAGAACGUUUCUGUUAAGAUCGCCACAGGCGCCAAGAGUUGAACCCAUGCUUCUAAUGAUACUACUCAUUACAGUCUUUAGAUCCUUUUUCAGAACCCCAUGGAGCUGAAACGUCUGUCUGGUGGUCAAACGAAGGGUACCAAUUCCAAACUGAUCGGCAAGAUCAUCCAUGGUCAAGUACAGUUGGUUUGACACUUUCCCACAAGGGUUUUUGGUACGAAGCAUAAACGAGUAGGACCUUCCACCACGUUCAUCUCGGUUAUAUUGUUGAUAACUCCCAUGGAACUUAAUGAGUUGUGUAGCAGCCUCAUUAAUGUUCGGGGCAUCCGUCAAAAUCUCUUCAUCAAGAGGGUAUCGUAUGAAAUUGCUCUGUUCUUUGAAUAUCUCAACCUUACUCCGCUUCGUCUCAGGCUUUGCCGGCUGCAAAACACAGAACCUAUGAAAACAAGCACAUUUCCUAUAAACAACUAACAACAAGCAAUCUAACUAGCAUUCGUUACGCAUUUUCCCCUCGGGGCCUAAUGUUUCGCCACCAAUUGACGAAAACUCAAGAAAGUAAUGCAUUUGAUGGAGAUUUGAUGAACUUAAAUAAUUUUUGUAAUAAUCAAGCAUAAAAAUAGCCAAAAAAAUGCUUUUUACUUGUUCUCGUUUAAAUUGAAUAAUUCGCAUUAACCCAUGUUUCGAUAACUCGGUAAACAAUUUUGACAGUGACGGCUGCAGUAAUUUACAAAAUUAAAUUCAAAUAAUGAAAGCCCCAAUCGGCCAAACAUUUGAAUCAAAGUGCUUAAAUUGAACCACAUUUUGGCUCAAUCUCUCACAAAAGUACAUUAAUUUAUCAUCUUUCUUACAAUUAUUCAUUUUCUCGCAUUUUCUGAGCAAACAAACAGAUGCCAAACAAAACAGAGGGAGGAUCAGGAGUUCGAAAACGCACCGUAGCGACGGCUCGAAUGAGCGAAGAGGAAGAAAAGGAGGAGAGAGGCACGUGUCGGCUUCUGGUGAGGCCAAGCGAGUUUGUUGAGCGCAGCCCCUGGUACCUCCCAAUCUGCACCUUCGGCUCCCCCAGAACCGCCGUGUUCGCACCUCCGAACGGCGUCGUCGUCAUACCAACCAAAACGACUGCGCUUCGAGAGGUUUAAGAGUUCAGAGAGUGAGAGCGAGAGAGAAGAUAUAAGCUGUUGAGUAGCGUUGUGGGGAUUGAGUGGUGAAGGAAGAGAAGGCAAAAGCCGCCUUUUCUUUUUAUUUUUUUAUUUCGCACUAUGAAAUUUUUCUAUAUUAUUUGUGUUUUUCUAAGAUUUUGUCGUACGCGCUGACGCGAAAUUUCACGUGCCUACCACGGGAACUGAGGAGAGAUGUUACGCGCCGGAGGCGGAGGAGUGGGGCGCGUGGAGUUUAUCUUACAGAAAUGCGAAAGCAGAGUUUGAUACCUGGACGGAAUUGUGUGUUUUUUCGGGUUUCCUAUUUUACCAUGGUCAAAUGUAGAAUGGCAGCGAGGUGAAUUGGGUUCGGAUAUAUCAUUCCUAUACCCAAAUUCGAUUAUUUCUGAAUUCAAAAUCGUAGACUGAACAGAUUUUCUCUAUAAUCAAACUUGUCGGGUAAUGGAUUUUUCAUCGAAAAACGGUUUUCCCUUUAUAAUAUUUAUUUAUAUCAUUAAUUAAAUAAAGAAUUUUAAAUAAAAACGAUAUGAAAUAAAUAGUUUUUAAUAAUACAUUUGCUACAAUGCAUCUAAUAAGUAAUAUUAAAUAUUUAUGUUACCAAGAAAACAUUUACACUCUUAAAAGUUAUAAACAUAUAGUUUAAGGAAAAUUAAUAAAAAAAACUUCAAAAUUUUGCAUUUUAAUAAAAAAAUCAUCCAAUAAUUUUAUUUAAUGAUAAGAACAAGAAAAAUAAAAAUAAAAUAUCAAACAAAGCGCCACACGUUCUCGCAUGUACAGACUGGGCCUGCAUUCUUCUCUUUACCCUAAAUAAAACCCUAGAGACCUUGAUCAACAACUUGUGGGUGUGGUUUAUUUAUUUGUUAAAGGGUUAAUCUUAAUUUACUAUUCUUGGUUUUUCAACAUUUGGUAGAUAUAGUAUUUUUCAUUCCAUAAAGGCAUUUUAAGUCAAAAUUUUGGGACAAUUUCAUCAUCCAUUAAGAUUGCUAUUAAAUUAGACGUUAAUUGGUGACAUGGUAUAUCUACAUGAACACUGAUUGGGCGUUACAUAUCAAUCUGGCUCCACUUCAACAUUAAAAAAUUUAAAAAGCUUUUUUUUUAUCACUUGAAAAACAAAAUUCCUUUUGUUAUUGUCGUUCGAUCUGCCCCUCAUUCCUCCCUCCCCAAUCCCCUCCUCCAUUCUCUCCUCCGCUCUAGAUGGAUAGUCAGAUGUGCAAAACCCUAGGAAAUUACCUUCUCUUCUGUCUCUCCGUUAUGUGCAAAACACUUGGACUUAAAUUGAUGAUGGGUGAUGGUUUCCCCAGACUCGCUUUGGACUUGGAUCGAUGAUGGGUGGAACGCGGAGGAGAGAAGGGAUGAGGGGAUUGGAAAGGGAGAGAGUGCCAGAUCUAACGACAGUAACAAAUUUUUUUUUUUUUUUUCAAGUGAUAAAAGAAAGUUAUUUUUAGUUUUUAAUUUUUUUUAAUGUUGAAGUGGGGCCAGAUUGACACGUGACUUCCAGUCAAUGUUCACGUAGGCGACCUGUCACCAAUUAACGGCUGAUUUAACAGCAACCUUAACGAAUGUAUGAAACUGUCCUAAAAUUUUGACUUCAGGUACCAUUCUAGGAUGAAAUUUUUUUUAUGUACCAAAUGUUUAAAAUCAAGAAGCUUGAGAGUUGUAAAUUGAGAUCAUAAAAUAUGAGUUUUAUAUAGGCCCUGCCUAAUCAACAAGAAUUCUAUCAAAGGCAUAGUAAACUCCAGGAAGGAAAUUAAAAAAAAAAAAAAAAAAGUGGUCGCCAUUUGAUCAUGCAACUUGGCAAAAUAUAACUAUAUGCAUACGUUGUCAAUAUAUGACUAAAAUCUAAUGGUCUUUUUCUUCUUACAUGCAUGAUCCAGUCAGUCAGAAUAUAAGAGUUGGCCGUUUAAGUUCACGCAGUCGUGGGGCGAGUUUUGCACAUGUACAAUAUGAAAAUGAAGUUGUUGAUGAGGAUACAUAACUUCACCACCUUUCAUAGACAAUCGAACUUGCAUGUAGACAUUUAUUCCUCCCCGAAUUCUUAUAUUCAAACCGAGGAAGUGUUGGUGCUAAGAACAUAUAGGAUCGGAAUCAACAGUGUGCAAUUUCAGAAAUAGUGUAAUAAUCAUGUUCAGUUCAGAAAUAGUCAGUUUCAUAAAUAGUCAGGUUAAGUUUAAGAAAUAAUGAUACUAUCAGUGCUUAGUUUAAAAAAAUAGUAGUAGUACUUGUGUUCAGUUUCAAAAAUAGUCAAUGCAUGCCAACUUGUGUUCAGUUUCAGAAAUAGUGCCUGUAUUUAGUUUCAAAAAUAGUAUAGUACCUAUGUUCAAUUUUAGAAUUAAUGUAAUAUUCGUGUUUAUUAGUUCAAUUUUCAAAAAUAGUAUAGUACCGUUCAGUUUC